UACAGAGGGGGCAAGCGUUAUUCGGAAUUAUUGGGCGUAAAGGGCGCGUAGGCGGCUUGGCAAGUGGAUGGUGAAAUCCCUCGGCUUAACCGAGGAACUGCCGUCCAAACUGCUUUGCUUGAGACCGGGAGAGGUGAGUGGAAUUCCCAGUGUAGCGGUGAAAUGCGUAGAUAUUGGGAGGAACACCAGUGGCGAAGGCGGCUCACUGGACCGGUACUGACGCUGAGGCGCGAAAGCGUGGGGAGCGAUCCGG
rnacentral:rRNA from 1 species